GAGUUUGAUCCUGGCUCAGGAUGAACGCUGGCGGCGUGCUUAACACAUGCAAGUCGAGCGGAGCACAUCGUUGGAAUCCUUCGGGAGGAAGAGGAUGUGGCUUAGCGGCGGACAGGUGAGUAACGCGUGGACAACCUGCCCUAUGCAGGGGGAUAACAUCCGGAAACGGGUGCUAAUACCGCAUAAGCGCACAGUACCGCAUGGUACAGUGUGAAAAGCUGAGGCGGCAUAGGAUGGGUCCGCGUUGGAUUAGGCAGUUGGCGGGGUAACGGCCCACCAAACCGACGAUCCAUAGCCGGCCUGAGAGGGUGGACGGCCACAUUGGGACUGAGACACGGCCCAGACUCCUACGGGAGGCAGCAGUGGGGAAUAUUGCACAAUGGAGGGAACCCUGAUGCAGCGACGCCGCGUGGGUGAGGAAGUACUUCGGUAUGUAAAGCCCUAUCAGCAGGGAAGAAAAUGACGGUGCCUGACUAAGAAGCCCCGGCUAACUACGUGCCAGCAGCCGCGGUAAUACGUAG
rnacentral:rRNA from 1 species